rfam:Beta vulgaris subsp. vulgaris Bvchr4_un.sca029.con0007.1, whole genome shotgun sequence.
GGGUGCAAUCAUACCAGCAAUAAUGCACCGGAUACCAUCAACAUUUCGCGGAUAAGCGUGUUUGGGCGAUAGUAGUACUAAGAUGGGUGACCUUUUGGGAACUCCUCGUAUUACACUCC